rnacentral:lncRNA from 1 species
GGCAGCGCAGGGGCUGCUGCUUUGCCACGAAAGAGUUCCCGUGCCGUGGGAGCAAGUCUGGGACCGCUGGUCGGACCGGAGAGUCGCAGCUGUGUGUUAGGGCUAGGAUGGCUCCGGGAUGCGCGUGACGCAAGUGACCUUGCGUGUAAAGGGAUACAUGAUCCCUUAAUUCAGGCUCAGGCUGAAGAACUGACCCACUUACGACAGAAGACACAGGAAGGGAGAGGUGUCUGCUACCUUUUUACCCAGCAUGUGAAGAACACAGUCAAGUCUUUUGAGGGCCUUCUCAGGAACACUGGCAUUGCCUACUACCAGAGACAGAGAUUCUGUGAGCAAAUGGUACAAGGAAGCCAGCUGACAGAGAUCCUUGUCAGAAAACUUGUCACAGAGAGACGGGGUUUCACCACAUUGGCCAGGCCGAUCUCAAACUCCUGACCUCAUGUGACCCACAUUGGCCUGGCAAAGUGCUGGGAUUACAAGCAUGAGCCACCACACUGGCCUAGCUUCUUUAAUACAAGAAUCACCCCCAAUUCUCACCAACAAACUGAGAAGAAAAAAAAAAGAAUUACCCCCAAGAACAUCUGAGGAAGCACAACAGGGACAGACUUGAAGAAAAUCACAACG